rnacentral:rRNA from 1 species
UACGUAGGGGGCGAGCGUUGUCCGGAAUCACUGGGCGUAAAGGGCGCGUAGGUGGCGCGGGAAGUCAACGAUGAAAGUUCGGGGCUCAACCCUGAAUCGGCCGUCGAUACUCCCGGGCUCGAGCACUGUAGAGGCAGAUGGAAUUCCGGGUGUAGCGGUGGAAUGCGUAGAGAUCCGGAAGGAACACCUGUGGCGAAAGCGGCUCACUGGACCAUAACUGACGCUGAGGCGCGAAAGCUAGGGGAGCAAACAGG